ACCUGGCUGGCUCAGUUGGUACAGCAUGUGACUCUUGAUCUUGGGGUUGUGAGUUCAAGCCCCAUGCUGGAUA
rnacentral:tRNA from 1 species